GCGCACGGGUGAGUAACGCGUAUGCAACCUACCUAUCAGAGGGGAAUAACCCGGCGAAAGUCGGACUAAUACCGCAUAAAACAGGGGUUCCACAUGGAAAUAUUUGUUAAAGAAUUAUCGCUGAUAGAUGGGCAUGCGUUCCAUUAGAUAGUUGGUGAGGUAACGGCUCACCAAGUCCACGAUGGAUAGGGGUUCUGAGAGGAAGGUCCCCCACACUGGUACUGAGACACGGGCCAGACUCCUACGGGAGGCAGCAGUGAGGAAUAUUGGUCAAUGGGCGAGAGCCUGAACCAGCCAAGUCGCGUGAAGGAUGAAGGAUCUAUGGUUUGUAAACUUCUUUUAUAUGGGAAUAAAGUGAGGAACGUGUUCCUUUUUGUAUGUACCAUAUGAAUAAGCAUCGGCUAACUCCGUGCCAGCAGCCGCGGUAAUACGGAGGAUGCGAGCGUUAUCCGGAUUUAUUGGGUUUAAAGGGUGCGUAGGUGGUUAAUUAAGUCAGCGGUGAAAGUUUGUGGCUCAACCAUAAAAUUGCCGCUGAAACUGGUUGACUUG
rnacentral:rRNA from 1 species